rnacentral:rRNA from 1 species
GAUAAGUAACGAUAAAGCGGGUGAAAAGCCCGCUCGCCGGAAGACCAAGGGUUCCUGUCCAACGUUAAUCGGGGCAGGGUGAGUCGACCCCUAAGGCGAGGCCGAAAGGCGUAGUCGAUGGGAAACAGGUUAAUAUUCCUGUACUUGGUGUUACUGCGAAGGGGGGACGGAGAAGGCUAUGUUGGCCGGGCGACGGUUGUCCCGGUUUAAGCGUGUAGGCUGGUUUUCCAGGCAAAUCCGGAAAAUCAAGGCUGAGGCGUGAUGACGAGGCACUACGGUGCUGAAGCAACAAAUGCCCUGCUUCCAGGAAAAGCCUCUAAGCAUCAGGUAACAUCAAAUCGUACCCCAAACCGACACAGGUGGUCAGGUAGAGAAUACCAAGGCACUUGAGAGAACUCGGGUGAAGGAACUAGGCAAAAUGGUGCCGUAACUUCGGGAGAAGGCACGCUGAUAUGUAGGUGAGGUCCCUCGCGGAUGGAGCUGAAAUCAGUCGAAGAUACCAGCUGGCUGCAACUGUUUAUUAAAAACACAGCACUGUGCAAACACGAAAGUGGACGUAUACGGUGUGACGCCUGCCCGGUGCCGGAAGGUUAAUUGAUGGGGUUAGCGCAAGCGAAGCUCUUGAUCGAAGCCCCGGUAAACGGCGGCCGUAACAAUAACGGUCCUAAGGUAGCGAAAUUCCUUGUCGGGUAAGUUCCGACCUGCACGAAUGGCGUAAUGAUGGCCAGGCUGUCUCCACCCGAGACUCAGUGAAAUUGAACUCGCUGUGAAGAUGCAGUGUACCCGCGGCAAGACGGAAAGACCCCGUGAACCUUUACUAUAGCUUGACACUGAACAUUGAGCCUUGAUGUGUAGGAUAGGUGGGAGGCUUUGAAGCGUGGACGCCAGUCUGCAUGGAGCCGACCUUGAAAUACCACCCUUUAAUGUUUGAUGUUCUAACGUUGACCCGUAAUCCGGGUUGCGGACAGUGUCUGGUGGGUAGUUUGACUGGGGCGGUCUCCUCCUAAAGAGUAACGGAGGAGCACGAAGGUUGGCUAAUCCUGGUCGGACAUCAGGAGGUUAGUGCAAUGGCAUAAGCCAGCUUGACUGCGAGCGUGACGGCGCGAGCAGGUGCGAAAGCAGGUCAUAGUGAUCCGGUGGUUCUGAAUGGAAGGGCCAUCGCUCAACGGAUAAAAGGUACUCCGGGGAUAACAGGCUGAUACCGCCCAAGAGUUCAUAUCGACGGCGGUGUUUGGCACCUCGAUGUCGGCUCAUCACAUCCUGGGGCUGAAGUAGGUCCCAAGGGUAUGGCUGUUCGCCAUUUAAAGUGGUACGCGAGCUGGGUUUAGAACGUCGUGAGACAGUUCGGUCCCUAUCUGCCGUGGGCGCUGGAGAACUGAGGGGGGCUGCUCCUAGUACGAGAGGACCGGAGUGGACGCAUCACUGGUGUUCGGGUUGUCAUGCCAAUGGCACUGCCCGGUAGCUAAAUGCGGAAGAGAUAAGUGCUGAAAGCAUCUAAGCACGAAACUUGCCCCGAGAUGGGUUCUCCCUGACCCUUUAAGGGUCCUGAAGGAACGUUGAAGACGACGACGUUGAUAGGCCGGGUGUGUAAGCGCAGCGAUGCGUUGAGCUAACCGGUACUAAUGAACCGUGAGGCUUAACC